CAUGUAGGCGGCCCUGCAAGCUUGGUGUGAAAUCUAUGGGCUUAACCCAUAGACUGCAUUGAGAACUACAGGGCUUGAGUCGCUGAGGCGGAACUGGAAUUCCAGGUGUAGGGGUGAAAUCUGCAGAUAUCUGGAAGAACACCAAUGGCGAAGGCAAGUUCCGGGCAGAUGACUGACGCUGAGGUGCGAAGGUGCGGGGAGCAAACA
rnacentral:rRNA from 1 species